rnacentral:lncRNA from 1 species
CCAGCAUUAAAGUGCUCCCCGUUACCGGCGUCACUGCCCCAGCCAGUGGAGGCCCCGGAGAGGGACUGAAGAUGUGUCACCUAACUUCUCUGAACCUUCCUCCCUCAAGGAGAACUGAUAAUCCCUAACUCACAGUUCUGUGAGGAUUGAAUGCCUUAAGCAUGCAGGUUAAGUGGCUACUGAAGGCAGUUUUUGUGGACAGGUGAUUUGGGAGCCUGGAGGAAGGGUUACGUGCGCGCGCGUGUGUGCGUGUGUGUGUGCGUGUGUGUAAGAAUCUUUCCGUGAGAGGACAUCUGAGGUGCCUUAGGAGAGUAGGAGUGGACAACAGCAUCCAGGCAGAAGGAGCAGCAUGUAGGUGAAGUCACAGGCUGCCCAAGGAUAGAAGGUGGAGCAGCCUGGCCGAAACUGGUCCCAGCGUCAGAUCUGCGAUGCUGCCCAGGCAUGGUGGUGACCCUCUCUAAACAAGCACACUCAGAAUUUCCCUGGCUCGGCUGGGCGACUCAGAAGAAAACUGGCCAUCAGCUUCUGCCUCAAGCGGUGAAAAGAAAUUGCUGGACAUUGCAGAAAAAUCAGAAAAUGUCAGUAAGUUAAAAGAAAUCAGGCCAGGCACAGUGGCUCAAGCCUGUAAUCCCAACCAGCCUGGCCAACAUGGUGAAACCCUGCCUUCACUAAAAAUACAAAAAUUAGCCAGGCUUCGUGGCGGGCACCUGUAAUACCAGCUACUUGGGAGGCUGAGGCAGGAGAAUUCCCUGAACCUGGGAGGCAGAGGUUGCAGUGAGCCGAGAUCACACCACUGCACUCCAGCCUGAGUGACAAAGACCCCAUCUCAAACAGCUUCUAGUAGCAACCUACAAUGCACAGGACAGGACAGCACCCCCAACAAAGAAUUAUCCAGUCCCAGAUGUCAAGCACCGGGUUGAGAAUCCCUGGUUUAGACUGCCUUAGUUAGGUUUUAGAGACUGGCUGGUUCAAAGGUGCUGUGGCAAGGAAGACAGAGCAUGUGUGUUGUGAACACUCAUUAGAGGAUCAUCCCUGCUGUGCCAGGUGCCAUGGCGCUGGAUGCAGAAAGCAGGACACAUGGAAAGAUGGUGUGUUCACAAAGAAUUUGGAAGAAAGCCAGAUGGUGACAAGAGUGUGUCUCUGAAUGCCCCUUUUGGGGGUCACUAAAAAUGCCCCAGGGUUUUUAGUUAGACCAAAAAGGAGGCUUCAAAGAGAUGACUUCUGAGCCGGGUUGUGAUACAUCUAGGAUGUCAACAGGCAGAGAAAGGGCAGGGACUGGGAGUAAGGAAAGAACAUCUGUUCAAGGCAAAACACUGAUUACCAAAGUUUCUAUCAUCCUUAUGUUGACAACGGACAUAAUUUUAACCUUUUGUAUAAGCCAGACUGUAAAGGAUUAUUAGCAGAAUAAAAGCAUCUAUUGGGCCUGGUGCAGUGGCUCACGCCUGUA